CCUCCCACUUUUUCCAUCUUUUCAAUCCCUUUCCCAUUCAUUUAUUUUCGGCUUGGAGCAGAGAGCUCCUCCUUCUCUCUCUCCCUUCUUCCCUCUCUGUCUCUGUCUCUCUCCUCCUAUUUUUUCUCCAUUAUUGGCUGAAACUUUAAGUUUAGAGUGAGAGUCUUUAGAGGGAGAUUUUACAAAAAUGUUGUAAAUGAAAGUCGGAAAGCUCGUUGUGAUCUUCCCAAUGGUGGUCUCGGAUCCAUGAUCGGGCGAUAUUUACAUUUUCAGAUUUGCUUUUCUUCAUAUUUGAGGGAAUGCUUUUCAGAUUUGAAGAUCAAACAAUGAGUUUUAUCAUUUCAUAAGUGUAAUGUAUUGAUAGAUUGUACUACUUCAUUUGUUUGUUUGGCUAAAUGCUAUCUUUUUGUAAGGAGUGGUGUUCUUUUUUUUAUUCUAAGCCUCUGGGCAAUUCUUUUAUUUGUAUGUAAAUGUCCUUGCUGUAUAACGAGAGGGAACAUGUAUAUUUAAUUAUUCAUCUUUUCAUCCAAGGAUGAGUUGUCA